rnacentral:rRNA from 1 species
UACGGGGGGAGCGAACGUUGUUCGGAAUCACUGGGCGUAAAGGGCGUGUAGGCGGCUGAAUAAGUGGGAUGUUAAAUCCCCCGGCUCAACCGGGGACCUGCAUCUCAUACUGUUCAGCUCGAGCACAUCAGAGGGAGACUGGAAUUCCCGGUGUAGCGGUGAAAUGCGUAGAUAGUCGGAGGAACACCAGUGGCGAAGGCGAGUCUCUGGGAUGAUGCUGACGCUGAUGCGCGAAAGCCAGGGGAGCAAACGGG